rnacentral:lncRNA from 1 species
AAGAUGCAUUAUCAUGGCUGUAAACACAGGUUCUGCACGUGUCUAAGUUCAGCCCCAAACCCACAUGAAGAACUUAUUUCCAGACAGCUCCUACUCUUAUGGUGGCUCCAGACCCUGCCCCAUGCAGAAGGCACUUCUCAAGUUCCAGGACCAGGGCUUCAGCCACAGCACUCGCAAAACCCCACAGAUACAGUGCCAAUGACAGAAAUUAAGAUUAACUGGGGGCGACACAGAUUUCUGUGAAUGCCAGUGCUGUCAGAUGCUUCCUGAUAGUACUUUCUAGAGUAAAAGAACUUCGGGAAAAGUAAAAGCAGCAAAUGGUAACACCCUCAUGGAGAUCUCAGGGUGUAGAGGCAAGCACUGAAGGCCCAUGAUCAGCCGUGGGAGCCACGGGAAUCAAUUGCUUCCAGUACGACUGGAUGCAUCGGAAAGAGCCUGGGGCAAGGCUGGAGGCCACAAGAGGAGCUGCCAGGCCACAUAAGCAGGGAACAAAGCCGAUGAUCACACGCCCAUCAGUGAGCCAACUUGGUGAAGGGAAAUGCCCAAGUUCUCAGCACCUGCAGAGCCUAAGACAUAACAAGCAGCAUGCCCUGACGCUCACCAAGGCCAGGUGCUGUGGUGAGUGCUCUACCUGUUUCUGUACAGAAGAGAAAUCAGAAUGCCAGAGACAUGAAGAAACUUCUCCAGGGUCAUGUAAUCACCAAAUAAUGUCUGCUUCGACCAUCUCUGCAUUUUGUGCUACACCAAGAUUUAAGCAGCUGUUCAAAGGAACUGUAGAACAGAUGUCACAGAUGUAACUAUUCUUGAAAGGAAGUCAGAUUUCAUAGAUGGAAAGACUGCCCUUUUCCAUUUGCCUCCUCCAGACCCAUAACUUUGGAUAGGGGGGUUUUAUUGUCCGUGAGGCUUAUGCAUAUGUCAGAAGAAUGUCCAAGCAGAGGAAUCUAAGUGGCAGACCCCCCAGGAUAGGAAAGAAGAAGGACGCUCGUGCUGACACUUCCAGAACACUCUUCACGUUUUGUGACAUAUGUGCUUGUCGAGUGAUCUUAAGACAGCUGGAUGUCCGAACCAUGCAGUAAUAGCAGAGAACCUGCGGAAGGAGAAGCUUCCCAGGACGUUCUGAGGGCUUAUGCCGGGUGCAGGCUUUCCUUCCCGCAACAUCCCUGAGUCCAGAGAAGAAAUAAUCCCCUGCCCUGUGGGCCAAGCACUUACAGCAACAGCACUUUGAGUUUGCUGUGCUUAGAUUCACUUGUGGAACUUGUUAAAAAUAUAAAAUUCCAGACCCCA